UAGCUAGUUGGUGAGGUAAAGGCUUACCAAGGCGACGAUCUGUAGCGGGUCUGAGAGGAUGAUCCGCCACACUGGAACUGAGACACGGUCCAGACUCCUACGGGAGGCAGCAGUGGGGAAUUUUGGACAAUGGGGGCAACCCUGAUCCAGCCAUGCCGCGUGAGUGAAGAAGGCCUUCGGGUUGUAAAGCUCUUUCGGCCGGGAAGAAAUCGCAUGGGCCAAUACCCUGUGUGGAUGACGGUACCGGAAUAAGAAGCACCGGCUAACUACGUGCCAGCAGCCGCGGUAAUACGUAGGGUGCGAGCGUUAAUCGGAAUUACUGGGCGUAAAGCGUGCGCAGGCGGUUUUGUAAGACAGGCGUGAAAUCCCCGGGCUUAACCUGGGAACUGCGUUUGUGACUGCAAGGCUAGAGUACGGCAGAGGGGGGUGGAAUUCCACGUGUAGCAGUGAAAUGCGUAGAGAUGUGGAGGAACACCAAUGGCGAAGGCAGCCCCCUGGGUCGAUACUGACGCUCAUGCACGAAAGCGUGGGUAGCAAACAGGAUUAGAUACCCUGGUAGUCCACGCCCUAAACUAUGUCAACUAGGUGUUGGGUGGGUAAAACCAUUUAGUACCGUAGCUAACGCGUGAAGUUGACCGCCUGGGGAGUACGGCCGCAAGGUUAAAACUCAAAGGAAUUGACGGGGACCCGCACAAGCGGUGGAUGAUGUGGAUUAAUUCGAUGCAACGCGAAAAACCUUACCUACCCUUGACAUGCCAGGAACUUGCCAGAGAUGGCUUGGUGCCCGAAAGGGAGCCUGGACACAGGUGCUGCAUGGCUGUCGUCAGCUCGUGUCGUGAGAUGUUGGGUUAAGUCCCGCAACGAGCGCAACCCUUGUCGUUAAUUGCCAUCAUUUAGUUGGGCACUUUAACGAGACUGCCGGUGACAAACCGGAGGAAGGUGGGGAUGACGUCAAGUCCUCAUGGCCCUUAUGGGUAGGGCUUCACACGUUAUACAAUGGUCGGUACAAAGGGUUGCCAAGCCGCGAGGCGGAGCCAAUCCCAGAAAGCCGAUCGUAGUCCGGAUUGCAGGCUGCAACUCGCCUGCAUGAAGUCGGAAUCGCUAGUAAUCGUGGAUCAGCAUGUCACGGUGAAUACGUUCCCGGGUCUUGUACACACCGCCCGUCACACCAUGGGAGCGGGUUCCGCCAGAAGUAGGUAGCCUAACCGCAAGGGGGGCGCUUACCACGGCGGGGUUCGUGACUGGGGUGAAGUCGAAACAAGGUAGCCGUAGGGGAACCUGCGGCUU
rnacentral:rRNA from 1 species